rnacentral:rRNA from 1 species
AAUUAGGGAAUUUUGCUUAAUUGCCCACAUGUGUUUUUUAUUGAACAAAUUUCUUUGGUGGCGGGAGCAAUCCUACCGCCAGAGGUUAUAACUAAACCAAACUUUUUAUUUACAGUCAAACUUGAUUUAUUAUUACAAUAGUCAAAACUUUCAACAACGGAUCUCUUGGUUCUCGCAUCGAUGAAGAACGCAGCGAAAUGCGAUACGUAAUAUGAAUUGCAGAUAUUCGUGAAUCAUCGAAUCUUUGAACGCACAUUGCGCCCUUUGGUAUUCCAAAGGGCAUGCCUGUUUGAGCGUCAUUUCUCCCUCAAACCCCCGGGUUUGGUGUUGAGCAAUACGCUAGGUUUGUUUGAAAGAAUUUAACGUGGAAACUUAUUUUAAGCGACUUAGGUUUAUCCAAAAACGCUUAUUUUGCUAGGGGCCACCACAAUUUAUUUCAUAACUUUGACCUCAAAUCAGGUAGGACUACCCGCUGAACUUAAGCAUAUCAAUAAGCGGAGGAA